GGCUACACACGUGCUACAAUGGCGCAUACAAAGAGAAGCGACCUCGCGAGAGCAAGCGGACCUCAUAAAGUGCGUCGUAGUCCGGAUUGGAGUCUGCAACUCGACUCCAUGAAGUCGGAAUCGCUAGUAAUCGUGGAUCAGAAUGCCACGGUGAAUACGUUCCCGGGCCUUGUACACACCGCCCGUCACACCAUGGGAGUGGGUUGCAAAAGAAGUAGGUAGCUUAACCUUCGGGAGGGCGCUUACCACUUUGUGAUUCAUGACUGGGGCGAAGUCGUAACAAGGUAACCGUAGGGGAACCUGCGGUUGGAUCACCUCC
rnacentral:rRNA from 1 species